GGAGAAGUGGCCGAGUGGUCGAAGGCGCAGCACUGGAAAUGCUGUAUACUCUAACCGGGUAUCGAGGGUUCGAAUCCCUCCUUCUCCG
rnacentral:tRNA from 1 species